rnacentral:lncRNA from 1 species
UUUAGAAACUAGCUGCAUUGACAAUAUACUCUUGGGAUUGAGAUAUUUAUUAAAAGUCAACUAAAGGUUCAAAAUUGUGCUGGAAUGAGGAGGAAGGCUGAUACAACCUCUGCCCUUGUGAAACCUGACAGUCUGAAGCCAAGUGGGACCUCAAGUGGAAGAGAGAUGUAGCUGACCACAUUUAGGGGCACCGAAGCCUUCCUGCAUUUUCAAGUGACCCAAGUUUGCCAAAUCACAUCUGCAAAAACUCAGUUAUGAGGCAAACUUCUAAAGAUUUUCUACUUGCUCCUCUGUACAUUUUGAUCAUAAGAGACAAAGAGAAUCUAAUCUACAUGUAUUAUGGCAGAGAGAAGACCCAGAGGCUACAGUAAGAUUAAUAUUAUUAUCUCUAGUUACUUUAACAAAUGUUGUUGAUUUCCCCUACUCUUUUCCUGGACUACCUCAAGCUUUUUAUACUUCCAAUACAAUUUCA